rnacentral:rRNA from 1 species
AAUGAACGCUGGCGGCAUGCCUUACACAUGCAAGUCGAACGGCAGCAUGACCUAGCUUGCUAGGUUGAUGGCGAGUGGCGAACGGGUGAGUAAUGCAUCGGAACGUACCUUUUUGUGGGGGAUAACGUAUCGAAAGUUACGCUAAUACCGCAUAUUCUCUGAGGAGGAAAGCCGGGGACCUUCUGGCCUUGCGCUAGAAGAGCGGCCGAUGUCGGAUUAGCUAGUUGGUGGGGUAAAGGCUCACCAAGGCGACGAUCCGUAGCGGGUCUGAGAGGAUGAUCCGCCACACGGGGACUGAGACACGGCCCAGACUCCUACGGGAGGCAGCAGUGGGGAAUUUUGGACAAUGGGCGCAAGCCUGAUCCAGCCAUGCCGCGUGAGUGAAGAAGGCCUUCGGGUUGUAAAGCUCUUUUGGCUGGGAAGAAAACGCACCCUCUAAUACAGGGUGUGGAUGACGGUACCAGCAGAAGAAGCACCGUCUAACUACGUG